UAUGACGCCAGUCGUAUCGCCGGGUAGCUAUAUACGGAAGAGAUAACCGCUGAAAGCAUCUAAGCGGGAAACUCGCCUCAAGAUGAGACUUCCCUGGGCACUUGAUGCCCCUGUAGGGUCGUGGAAGACUACCACGUUGAUAGGUCAGGUGUGGAAGUCCAGUAAUGGAUUAAGCUAACUGAUACUAAUUGCCCGUGAGGCUUGAUCCUAUAACAUUAG
rnacentral:rRNA from 1 species